rnacentral:rRNA from 1 species
GGAAACCGGGGCUAAUACCGGAUAAUAUUUUGAACUGCAUGGUUCGAAAUUGAAAGGCGGCUUCGGCUGUCACUUAUGGAUGGACCCGCGUCGCAUUAGCUAGUUGGUGAGGUAACGGCUCACCAAGGCAACGAUGCGUAGCCGACCUGAGAGGGUGAUCGGCCACACUGGGACUGAGACACGGCCCAG